rnacentral:rRNA from 3 species
AUCUGAUCUCAAAUCAGGUAGGACUACCCGCUGAACUUAAGCAUAU